GUGGCAUCAGGAAGGGGCAUCACUGGCUCCAGAAGCAGACAGCAUUGCAGUACCGGCCACCUUGGUCUGUACAGGAGCACCAACACGGGACUUCUCUCCCCCAGCUACAGCUAUAGCCAGGAGGAGCACUCACAGAACAGAGAGCCACAGGAUCCAAACACGUCUUCCUCUUCCCCAGGUCAGCACCUCACUUCUUCUUAUGGCCUCCCUUGGAGCUCUUCAUGGCGAGCUUUUGGAGAUGCUGGGAGGCCGCACAGAGGAUUCCUGCUGUUCUGAACCUACCACAAAGACACAAAUGACCAUAAACACUUGAGCUGGAAGGGACCAUCUGAUCCUCCUUUCUGCAAUGAACUGGGACACCUACAGCUGAUGUGUUAGUCUCACAAAAACAAGGUCAAAUAUCCCAGUA